rnacentral:rRNA from 1 species
GACGAACGCUGGCGGCGUGCUUAACACAUGCAAGUCGAACGGAAAGGCCCUGCUUUUGUGGGGUGCUCGAGUGGCGAACGGGUGAGUAACACGUGAGUAACCUGCCCUUGACUUUGGGAUAACUUCAGGAAACUGGGGCUAAUACCGGAUAGGAGCUCCUGCUGCAUGGUGGGGGUUGGAAAGUUUCGGCGGGUGGGGAUGGACUCGCGGCUUAUCAGCUUGUUGGUGGGGUAGUGGCUUACCAAGGCUUUGACGGGUCGCCGGCCUGAGAGGGUGACCGGCCUCAUUGGGACUGAGAUACGGCCCAGACUCCUACGUGAGGCAGCAGUGGGGAAUAUUGCACAAUGGGCGGAAGCCUGAUGCAGCAACGCCGCGUGCGGGAUGACGGCCUUCGGGUUGUAAACCGCUUUCGCCUGUGACGAGGCGUGUGUGACGGUAAUGGGUAAAGAAGCACCGGCUAACUACGUG